GGAGCCAUAGCUCAGUGUUAAGAGCAUGUGUCUAGCAAGCACAAAGUCCUGGGUUCAAUCCCCGGUACCUCCA
rnacentral:tRNA from 1 species